GCCCCGGUGGCGGAAUGGCAGACGCAUCGGACUUAAAAUCCGCUGCCCCGAGAGGGGCGUGCCGGUUCGACUCCGGCCCGGGGCACCA
rnacentral:tRNA from 1 species